UUCAUGAGCAGCUGCAAAGGUGU
rnacentral:miRNA from 1 species